rnacentral:rRNA from 1 species
GAUGAACGCUGGCGGCGUGCCUAAUACAUGCAAGUCGAGCGAAUGGAUUAAGAGCUUGCUCUUAUGAAGUUAGCGGCGGGCGGGUGAGUAACACGUGGGUAACCUGCCCAUAAGACUGGGAUAACUCCAGGAAACCGGGGCUAAUACCGGAUAACAUUUUGAACCGCAUGGUUCGAAAUUGAAAGGCGGCUUCGGCUGUCACUUAUGGAUGGACCCGAGUCGCAUUAGCGAGUUGGUAAGGUAACGGCUCAACAAGGCAACGAUGCGUAGCCGACCUGAGAGGGUGAUCGGCCACACUGGGACUGAGACACGGCCCAGACUCCUACGGGAGGCAGCAGUAGGGAAUCUUCCGCAAUGGACGAAAGUCUGACGGAGCAACGCCGCGUGAGUGAUGAAGGCUUUCGGGUCGUAAAACUCUGUUGUUAGGGAAGAACAAGUGCUAGUUGAAUAAGCUGGCACCUUGACGGUACCUAACCAGAAAGCCACGGCUAACUACGUGCCAGCAGCCGCCGUAA